UGCAAGCCUACAACCUUUUAAACUUUUAUUGUUUGCAAUUCCAUAUUACUUAAUAUAAAGUCAAGUAUCACAAACAAGAAAACCAGCCUACCGUACAAGGCAUAUUCGAUUUGUAGAAUUAAUUUUAAUUAAAGACAUCUUAUUCAGAAAUUCAAAAUCUACCAUUAGCUCAAUGUAUUCUUUUGGCAGCAAAGAAGACCAAUGAAACUAUGUGCAUCUCUACAUAUAAACACAAAUAAAUAUAAAACAAUUCUCACAACAGAAGAAUUGAUUGAGAGAUUAGGCAUCUGCAUACCUACCCUUCGGGAAAAUCCUUUUCUUCAAGAAGUGUGCCAAAAUAAAUCAAGACUGAUUAGUUUGUUGAAAGCUAAUUUUAUAGGAGUGCAAUUAAUCAAGAAUACCUAGUGCAUCAAAAGGCACAAGUAAAUAAUAUAUAUAUAUAAACUUAUAAUUCUUUUUAAAAGAUCUAGAAAAAGACAACAAACAUUAUCUAGCAAAGAAUAAAUAAUGAUGAAUUCUUAUAGAACCACUUAGUUCUAACAAAAUCAAGUUAUCUCUAACUACGCUCCACCUGACCCAAUACGAUCGGAGAUGCCAUUUCUUCGUCUAGAUGCAGCUCCUAUAGGAGAAAACAUUGAUGACAAAUAAUUCUGGGACUUUCCAUAGUGCAUAGCAGCAGCAAUGGACAUAAAACAUGACUUCAUACAAUGAAAUGUGUAUGUAUGUAAUACUUGUCUGUAUAUGUGUGUGAUGCAGAUGGUGGGUCUCCAUGGGCCAUUAGAAAGGAUCUUUCGCUUGUGGAUCUAAUAAUGCACCCCUUUCAUUGUUGCAUAAAAUUUUCAUCAACAAAGAAAAAAAAAUUGAGAACAGAUGGAAAAUUUUUUGUUUUUCUCCUAUAAUGACAAGACACUGCAACUACCAAAACGACCGUAGACUUCAACCCCCACCAGGAAAAAGAAAAAAAAUACUGGAAACAAAUUAUACUUAAUUAUAUAUUGCAAAUCAAAAUCAAAGAAAUUUCUUAGAACAUUAUCACCCCAUUAUUUAUAAUUGCCAGGCCAAACGGCAUUGUAACAUCUCGUUUAAAAAAGAAAAAGCAUCUAAACAUCAAAUCAUAGAAUUUUCCUAUUAAAGUGUCAUCGAGUCACAUCGAAAGAAAACGAUUAAGACACGUUUCGAAACCUCAACAGAUUUGGCUGGUUAAGAACACCCGACAAAAAUAGAAAUAUUAUAUGGUACACUAACAAAACAUAGAAAUCGGCUGUCAAAUCAAUCUUCCCUUAAAAUUAUAAAUACUCUUAAAUCACUGUUAACAUUAGUUCACAGAAUCAAUUCAUCAAAAACCAUAGGCUGUCAAAAGUCAGACAACCUAAGGUCCCAGGACUCACAGAGAUCGAAGAGAAUCUCAAAGAAGCAGGUAGACCGGUUAACUCAAAUAUUAUGGUUGAG
rnacentral:misc_RNA from 1 species